CAGCAGCUGGCAGUCCACCUAAAAAAAAUACCAGAACCUAUUCUGAGGUUCAGCAGAAAUCAUGUUAAAGCAGCACUACACAGGUAUUCCUCUGAUCUCAGCAAGGAGGAGGAUGCAAACAAAUGCAGGUGUCUCUCCCUGUGCCAGCCCGUGGUGCCUGAGGACACAGUGCAAAGAAGGAAUGCGACAAGAAACGGCUGCCAGAGGCUUCUCAACUACAUUGCAGGAUACAGGAAAAAAGGAACAUGUUGCUGUUAACAAUGGAAGAAAAGACUGACACCUCCACAUAUACAAGACAGGAAUUUAGAAAAAUAAUUGGCUUUAGUUUUUAAUGUUGCUC